CCCUCGUGAUCUCGAUGAACUCGCCAAUAAAAUCGCCCUCCGACGCUUGACGAAGACGCGACUGGCAACGCGCUACCGGCAUUCCCAAGAUGAAAGAAAUGGAACAGAAUCAGGGCAACUGAAGAAGUUUUAACAAGGUGGACACUAAGUGGAUAGUGGCAUCAUGGCCACUUAUUUUGUCACGGAUUUAUGUCGUCUAUAAAGGAUUCUGCCUGUCGCUGGGUGAAGAUUGUGCAGCCCUUGAGAGUGAAGAUUACGGUACAAUGCAGCCCACAAGACUCGUCUAUCAAAAGGGCGUUAGGUAGAAUUACGAUACAAUGCAGUCCUCGAGACUCAUCCAUCAAGAAGGCACUGGGUGAAGAUUACGGUACAAUGCCAGCCCUUGAGACUCAUCCAUCAAGAAGGCGCUCGGUGAAGAUUAAGGUACAAUACAGCCCUUGAGAUUGAGACUCAUCGAGGACAUGUCUUUGAGCACCAAAAAGCCUCUACUGCUAGUUGACAAUCAGCUUAGGGGAGUUCAAUCAUAAUCAAUGCAGGUAGCACUAAUUCUUAUGAAUCAUAACCAUACAAACACACUUUCUAUCAUAUAAUUCUUUCCAUCUUCAUUAUCUCUCCACUUAAGUUUCCUUUACAUUCUGUCUACACAUCUUUUAUUUUGCUCCACCAAUUCAAGUUUUUAUUUCUUGGUGAUGAGUUGAUUUCUUAUUUUAAUGUUAUAUUCUAGGAAUAUCAUGUUAGUGAUACAAUAUUCCUAGAAUUUAAGAACAAUGCAAGAAGAAAUUACAAAAGGAACUUCAUUUUAAGCCACACAUUCAAUUUUUUAAGAGGUAAGUUUUGAAUUCUUUUGUGAAAGAAAAGGAAAGAAAAAGAUGAUUUGAGUAUAUAUUCUUAUCCAAAUAUGUCUGUCUGUGAGCUAUACACCUUUAUAGGGGGCCACUAUUGUUUCUUUUUAGUGGUUAAAAACAUGUAUGCCCCCCUCCAUUGCUCGUUAGAUUGGAUUUGAACACCAAAAAUCAAUCAAACAUGAGGAAAGGACCAUUCCUUUUGCUCCUCAUCUCCCUUCUUUGCCUUUGUCUCCUUCCAUUUUGUCUAUCUGAAGCCUAUUUCACCAACAAAGCUUAUGAUCCUUACAAGCACCUGAAGCAGGGGAGGCCCAGAAAAGAUUUGCAGGACAGUAAGCAGAUAAAAGUUGGAGCUGCAACGACGGUUAUGAGAGCAAGAGGAGUUUAUGGCGGGGGGAACGACAUUCAUAGGGGGCACUCGAAGAAUGAUGCUAACCCUUUACGGAUCAAAUCAACUUCUUCGUUGCUGUGGGAUGUUUCAUGUGGCUUCUUUAGUUUAUGUGUUCUUCUUACAGGUUUGUAAGUGUUGGCUCUGUUGUAGCAGCAGCAGAGCAGUCGAGUGUUAUAUUCUGUAAUGCUUUGGACCUUGUUCAUGGCCAAUGUUAGUAUUCGAUAACUCGACUUUGAAGCUUCAUACCACUUGAUUCUCC